CCAUCUGGUGCCAGCAGCCGCGGUAAUUCCAGCUCCAAUAGCGUAUAUUAAAGUUGUUGCAGUUAAAAAGCUCGUAGUUGAAUUUCGGGGUUCUACCGUUGGUCGGGCUUUGUCUGUACUGGCGUGUAGAAUUUCUACCUUCUGGGGAACCAUCAUGUUAUUAAUUUAACGUGGUGGGAAACCAGGACCUUUACCUUGAAAAAAUUAGAGUGUUCAAAGCAGGCUUAUGUCUGAAUACAUUAGCAUGGAAUAAUAAAAUAGGACGGUGGUCCUGUUUUGUUGGUUUCUGAAUCACCGUAAUGAUUAAUAGGGAUAGUUGGGGGCAUUAGUAUUCAAUUGUCAGAGGUGAAAUUCUUGGAUUUAUUGAAGACUAACUUCUGCGAAAGCAUUUGCCAAGGAUGUUUUCAUUAAUCAAGAACGAAAGUUAGGGGAUCGAAGACGAUCAGAUANCCGUCGUAGUCUUAACCCAUAAANCUAUGCCGANCUAGGGAUUCNGANCGAUUAU
rnacentral:rRNA from 1 species